rnacentral:rRNA from 1 species
UACGUAGGGUGCGAGCGUUAAUCGGAUUUACUGGGCGUAAAGCGCGUGUAGGCGGCAGGGCAAGUCUGGUGUGAAAGCCCGGGGCUCAACCUAGGAAUUGCGCUUGUGACUGGCGGGCUCGAGUACGGUAGAGGGGGGUGGAAUUCCUGGUGUAGCAGUGAAAUGCGUAGAGAUCAGGAGGAACACCGAUGGCGAAGGCAGCCCCCUGGGCCUGUACUGACGCUCAUGCACGAAAGCGUGGGGAGCAAACAGG